rnacentral:lncRNA from 1 species
ACUUCCCCUUGCAGAACCCAGCGGGUGCCGCUUCUCCACCCGAGGCUUCCACCUCCAACGAGCCAUGUUCCAGGCUGCAGGAGCCGCCCAGGCCACCCCCUCUCAUGACGCCAAAGGCGGCGGCAGCAGCACGGUGCAGCGCUCCAAGGUAGGGGCCUGGGGCCGGGUGUGCGGGAGGAGGGGUGUGAGGGAGCGGGAUGAGCACUGGGGCAGCACCUGGCUGAGCUUCCCGCACAGUCCUUCAGCCUGCGGGCCCAGGUGAAGGAGACCUGCGCCGCCUGCCAGAAGACCGUGUACCCCAUGGAGCGGCUGGUGGCCGACAAGCUCAUUUUCCACAACUCUUGCUUCUGCUGCAAGCACUGUCACACCAAGCUCAGGUGCGCCCCUGCCCUGCCCGCCCCCGCCUCGCCUGCCAACCCAGCCCCGACCUGACCUGACCUGACGCCGUUGUUUGGCUUCUGCAGCCUGGGCAGCUACGCCGCGCUGCACGGGGAGUUCUACUGCAAACCCCACUUCCAGCAGCUGUUUAAGAGCAAAGGCAACUACGACGAGGGGUUUGGCCGCAAGCAGCACAAGGAGCUCUGGGCCCACAAGGAGGUGGACCCCGGCACCAAGACGGCCUGAGGCCUCUGUAACCUUCCACCCCCUCUGCGGAAGGCCUGGAGCCGGCAGGGGGAAGGUGGGAAGGAGGUCGAGCUGGGCUUGCGUGGGGGCCAGGUGGGAAGGGGAUGAGGCUUGCUCAGGCGUAGGGGACCAGGGCAGGGCUCUGCUCCAGGACUCCUUCCUUCUUCCUUCUCCCGCAGCCGGUGAGGGUUUGGAAACCAGGAUUGGGGUCUGCCCACCACCCUGCUUCCUGCUUCGUUCAGCCUCCCUCCCCACCUCACCCCAGGACCCCCUGGGAGGCCCCCAAGCCCAGCUCC